CCCGUGUGAAUCUGCGAGGACCACCUCGUAAGGCUAAAUAUUCCUGAAUGACCGAUAGUGAAACAGUACCGUGAGGGAAAGGUGAAAAGAACCCCGGGAGGGGAGUGAAAAGAACAUGAAACCAUAAACUUACAAGCAGUAGGAGGACGACUAAAACGUCUGACUGCGUGCCUGUUGAAGAAUGAGCCGGCGACUUAUAGGUAGUGGCAGGUUAAGGUAGUGAAUACCGAAGCCACAGUGAAAGCGAGCCUGAAUAGGGCGUUUGUCACUAGUUAUAGACCCGAACCCGGAUGAUCUAACCAUGGCCAGGUUGAAGCUUAGGUAAUACUAAGUGGAGGACCGAACCGACUGAUGUUGAAAAAUCAGCGGAUGAGUUGUGGUUAGGGGUGAAAUGCCAAUCGAAUUCGGAGCUAGCUGGUUCUCCCCGAAAUGCGUUUUGGCGCAGCGGUAGAUGUUAUAGCUUAGGGGUAAAGCACUGUUACGUAUGCGGGCUGGUAAUUCGGUACCAAAUCGUUGCAAACUAAGAAUACUAAAUGAAUAAUUUGCUAGUAAGACUAUGGGGGAUAAGCUCCAUUGUCAAGAGGGAAACAGCCCAGAGCACCAGCUAAGGCCCCCAAAUAAUUACUAAGUGAUAAAGGUGGUGGGAGUGCAUAGACAAUCAGGAGGUUUGCUUAGAAGCAGCAAUCCUUUAAAGAGUGCGUAAUAGCUCACUGAUCGAGUAAACCUGCGCCGAAAAUGAAUGGGACUCAAGUAAUUUGCCGAAGCUGUGCGGUAUUUUAAUAAUAUCGGUAGGGGAGCGUUCUGUUGUAGGUUGAAGUAUUAACGAAAGUGGAUAUGGACGAAGCAGAAGUGAGAAUGUCGGCUUGAGUAACGAAAAUAUAGGUGAGAAUCCUAUACCCCGAAAACCCAAGGUUUCCUCCGGAAGGCUCGUCCGCGGAGGGUAAGUCAGGACCUAAGGCGAGGCUGAAAAGCGUAGUCGAUGGACAACGGGUUAAUAUUCCCGUACCGUUUUUUAUUGAUAUCGAGGGACGGAGAAGGCUAAGCUAGCCGGAUAUUGGUUUUACCGGUUUAAGCGUUCAAGAUGUUGAGAAGCGGCGAAAACGCUUUGAGUUGAGACGUGAGUACGAGACGCUAAGGCGUCGAAGUAGUGGAUGUCAUACUUCCAAGAAAAGCUUGCACUGUCAUAAAUAAAAAACGCCUGUACCAUAACCGACACAGGUGGGUAGGUAGAGUAUACUAAGGGGCGCGAGAUAACUCUCUCUAAGGAACUCGGCAAAAUGACUCCGUAACUUCGGGAGAAGGAGUGCCUUAUUCGUAAGGCUGCAAUAACAAGAUCCAAGCAACUGUUUAUCAAAAACACAGGUCUCCGCUAAGUCGUAAGACGAUGUAUGGGGGCUGACGCCUGCCCAGUGCCAGAAGGUUAAAGAAGUUGGUUAGCAUUAGCGAAGCUGAUAACUGAAGCCCUGGUGAACGGCGGCCGUAACUAUAACGGUCCUAAGGUAGCGAAAUUCCUUGUCGGGUAAGUUCCGACCCGCACGAAAGGCGUAAUGAUUUGGAUACUGUCUCAGAGAGGGGCUCGGUGAAAUAGACUUGUCUGUGAAGAUGCGGACUACCUGCACCAGGACAGAAAGACCCUAUGAAGCUUUACUGUAGCUUGAAAUUGAAAUUGGACUUUGCAUGCGCAGAAUAGGUGGGAGGCUUUGACGGUAAUCUUGCGGGAUUAUCUGAGCUAUCAGUGAGAUACCACUCUUGUAAUGUUAGAUUUCUAACUUUGUACCAUUAUCUGGUCAGAGAACAGUUUCAGGUGGGCAGUUUGACUGGGGCGGUCGCCUCCCAAAUGGUAACGGAGGCGUACAAAGGU
rnacentral:rRNA from 1 species